UACGUAGGGUGCGAGCGUUGUCCGGAAUUAUUGGGCGUAAAGAGCUCGUAGGCGGUGUGUCGCGUCGGCCGUGAAAACCUGGGGCUCAACUCUGGGCGUGCGGUCGAUACGGGCAUCACUUGAGUUCGGCAGGGGAGACUGGAAUUCCUGGUGUAGCGGUGAAAUGCGCAGAUAUCAGGAGGAACACCGGUGGCGAAGGCGGGUCUCUGGGCCGAUACUGACGCUGAGGAGCGAAAGCCAGGGGAGCAAACGGG
rnacentral:rRNA from 1 species